CUAACAAUGUAUAUGAGGACUUUCUGAGAAUUUUCUACAUGGGAAUUUAAGUCAUUUUAAAAUAAAGACACUUAUUUUUUCUUUCAAUCUUUUUGCCUUUACUUGCCUUUUUCCUCCUUUAUUUCUUUAUUAUCCAUGGGUCAAGAUGAUGAAAUGAAAGUGGUGAUAUUUAACAUGCUUAUAAUUUUAAAGGGAAUGUUACUAAUUUUUCUUCAUUAAUGACAUAUUUCGCUGUAGAUUUCUCAUAGAACCUAUUACAAAGUUUAGUUUACCAACCUAUUACCAUAUUUCAUUGUAGAUUUAUUGUAGAACCCAUUACCAAAUUCCUUUCAAUCUAUUCCUAGAAUAACAUUUUUCCCAAAAUUAUGCUUUGAACUUUGUCAUUUUUUUUUACCAUCAAAUGAAAUACACACACACACACACAUACACACACACACACACACACGCAAUUUCUUACUGUGGGGAAUAGCAGUUACACAUUUUCUAAUAAUAGACACACCUUACUUUUUAGGAUAAAUAUACUUUGGCCCAGGAGUUUUAUCUUUGUUUAUCUUAUUCCCAUAUGAAUUGUCAUAGCUUCAUCUGAAUUUUCUAGUAGUAUUGGCCUGAUUACACUGUCCUUGUGAAUUCUGAUGUAAAAGCUAGACUGUCCUCAUAGAAAAAGUGGAGGUAUGCAUUUUUUUCAAUUAUCUGUUCACCAAAAGAUGUCUUUUUUAUGUCUGAAAUGUUCUGUUCUUAAAAAGAGAUUAGCUGGUACUCCCACUAAACUAUUGUUUAAAUUUCUUUA
rnacentral:lncRNA from 1 species